CAGAGGGUAGUUUAAUUUAAAAUAUUAAUUUUGGAGAUUAAAGAUAUUUGUUUUCCUCUGA
rnacentral:tRNA from 1 species